UGGUAAGCAGAACUGGCGAUGAGGGAUGAACCUAACGUCGGGCUAAGGUGCUUAAUUGCACGCUCAUCAGAUACCACAAAGGGUGUUGGUUCAUUUUGACAGCAGGACGGUGGUCAUGGAAGUCGAAAUCCGCUAAGGAGUGUGUAACAACUCACCUGCCGAAUCAACUAGCCCCGAAAAUGGAUGGCGCUUAAGCGGGUGACCGAUACCCAACCAUUGUUGCAAAUAUGUUGCAUCAAUGAGUAGGAGGGCAUGGGGGCUUGUGAUGAAGCUUUUGGCGUAAGCCUGGGUGAAACAGCUCCUAGUGCAGAUCUUGGUGGUAGUAGCAAAUACUCGAUAGAGGACCUGGAGGACUGAUGUGGAGAAGGGUUUCGUGUGAACAGCAGUUGCACUCGAGUCAGUCGAUCCUAAGCACUAGGGGAAACCCGAU
rnacentral:rRNA from 1 species